rnacentral:rRNA from 1 species
GUCAGCGGUGAGAUAUUGCAGCCUGAACUGUAAAAGUGCCGGUGAUACUGUGAGCCUAGGAUUUGGUGCUGUGGGUGCAAUGUGUGGUGUAGCGGUGAAAUGGUUAGAGAUCACACAGAAUAUCGAGUGCGAAGGCAGCUCACAAAGCCCACGAUUGACGCUGAGGCACGAAAGAGUGCGGAUCAUACAGGAUUAGAUACCCUCGUAGUCCACACUGUAAACGAUGAUAACUCGCUGUCGGCGAUCUACACUCGGUGGGCAAGCGAAAGCGAUAAGUUAUCCACCUGGGCAGUACGACAGCAAGGUUGAAACUCAAAGGAAUUGACGGCGCCCCGCACAAGCGGAGGAACAUGUGGUUUAAUACGAUGAUACGCGACGAACAUUACCCGGGCUCGAACGGUGCAGGAAUAUGGUAGAGAUAUCAUAGCUAGCAAUAGUCUGUAUCGAGGUGCUGCAUGGUUGUCGUCAGCUCGUGCCGUGAGGUGUCGGCUUAAGUGCCAUAACGAGCGCAACCCUUGCCAUUA